UGUUAUGUAGUAGGAACAUACAGGAUAUCUGAAAAAAAUGGGAAAAUCCAAUCAUAAAUGGACACAGAGGGUUGUGGUGAGGCAGGAGGCAGAUAGUCUGACCCCCGGGGGCAGAUAACCCGUGGAGGGGGUUAACUCACAGUAGCAGACAGACAGCGGGGGAGAGAUAGACAGAUUUAAUUAACCACAGCGGGUCAAGACGACAACAAACCUAAAACCAUCAAACUGACCUCUGUGGUGUGUGUGUGUGUGUGUGUGUGUGUGUGUGUGUGUGUGUGUGUGUGUGUGUGUGUGUGUGUGUGUGUGUGUGUGUGUGUGUGUGUGUGUGUGUGUGUGUUAGAUGGCUUUAGAAAACUUUUCAUAUGUCGAAUCUGAUCUCAGUUCACCUUAAAAUCUAACAUUUUAAGUUUUAAGUGCCUUUUUAAUUGUCCAGCAGGUGAAAUAUCUCAUCUCAUCUCUGAAGCCUUGUUCACCUCCAGAGCAGAUUCAUCUACUGCAGGUCUCAUUGAACAAAACAAGUUUAUAACAUGAGUCAAAUAAAUGAACAAAUGAGGAUUGGAGACAAAAUUCCCAAAUCUUCCCAGAAGUCAGAGGCUGCCAGGACUUGCAGGGGUGUUGAUGAGAUCUGUGAGCAUCAGACGUGCGCUGACAAGUUUGUAAACAAGAUGGUCAGAAUAUGAAUGAAGUUGAGCUGAAUACACUUUCACCUUCUGAGGCUAUAAUUUCAAUAAAUGCCAUCUGCAGUAAUAAUUAUCCUAUUGUUGAAACAUAAUCAGCCUAUUAGUCAAAAUGAGUGUUGAGUUGUAAUCUGCUGUUUAGAAACAGGUCUGAACAUCACCUGUAAUAUAAACCUAUCAGCAGCUGAAGAGAAUAUAUCAUAAAUUCAUUCUGUCAUCAUUUCAAAUCUAGUGUCAGUACUGAACAAUACAUAUAAUUAUUAUCAUUUCUAACUAUCCGAUAGUAGGCUCUUUUUAUUUGUAUAUAUUUAUUUGUAUAAUAAUAUACAAUAAUAUAUAAAUAAUAUAUUUAUUUGUAUAAUAAUGUCAAAAUAAUGUUUUUUUUUAAUAGUUACAUGAUGCUGCAACACGUAAAUUGUGCCUCUUUAUCGCCAUCUCUGUUUGAAAUAAAGAUUACAGGUUACUUUACAUAGGCCUAUUUAUUUAUGAAUCAAUAAUUAUUAUGUUAUAAAUAAGAUAAUACAGUUUUAAUCCAACAACAAGUCUUCAGAAAUGUUGUAAAUUAUUAUUAGAAUAAAAUAAAUAAGUACUUUUCUUUACGUGGGUUGAAGUUAAUGACGUCAAACUGACAUUUCCCGCCAAUUCCCUGACUGAUGAAUUAUAUAAGCUUAAUGUUGUGAAUAAGGAGACCGUUUUCAACACGUAUUCCUUGCUUAAUAUCUGAUUUUGAUAAAAAUAGAAAAAAAUACAAAUUACAGCUUCAGGAGUCAUUUACAUUUGUAUUCAUGUAUUUAAAAAUAUCAACUGAGGUAAUUUGGACUUUUUGACAUUCACUUUUUUAACACUUAUGAUGUGAUGUAAUUAAGAUUGCAAAAUUCCGGGAAAUUUAAUAUAAGAAUGAUUUCUGAAGGAUUUUUAUUGAUGAGCGCAAAUAUCAGGAUUCUUUAAAAUUUGUGUUACCUUGCAUGCAUGUCUGCUUAUGACAAAAAAUGUUUUAUGUUUAGAAAUGUUAUAGUGUAUAUUACCAAGGAAUAUCAUGACUUUACGGUUAUAUUGACUUUAUUGUUAUAAAUUUAAUUGUUAUUGUUAAAUUUAACGACUUUAUUCUCAAAAUUUAACGACUUUAUUCUCGAAAUUUAAAGGAACAGUAUGUAGGAUUGUGGCCAAAACUGGUAUUGCAAUCACAAAACGUGCGGUUAAACAGGUACUGCAAUCACACAACUGGUGGCCAAUACACAACAUGACAACAUAAACAUCAGUUGAGGGCUGCAACUCCACUUUUUAAAUGACAAUAUCCUAGCCAGACCACUGUUGUCAGUGAUAUAAGUAUUUGAAAUGAAAAUGA